rnacentral:tRNA from 1 species
UGCCGAGUCGUCUAAUGGUAGGACAGCGGCCUUUGAAGCCGUUAAUCAAGGUUCGAUCCCUUGCUCGGCAGCCA